rnacentral:snRNA from 1 species
GUGCUGGCUUCAACAGCACAUAUACUAAAAUUGGAACGAUACAGAGAAGAUUAGCAUGGCCCCUGCGCAAGAAUGACAUGCAAAUUCGUGAAGCGUUCCACAUUUAA